GUUCGCGCGCUUGGCGGCGAACGGUUUGUCGGUGCACGAGCUUGGAGGGUGGGAGUCAUGUGACGCUCCAUCGUUUACAACAACACCUUGCUGCAUUUAUGUUGCGCCUUUAAUGUCGAAAGAUCAAUCAAGGCCAUUUGCCUGAGGGUAAUCAAGCAAGAUCGGCCGGUGGAAGAGAUUGCCUGCCUGCUGACUAUUUGCUUGGUUUCCUCCUGAUGACAAAAGUUAAAAAGCAGCCGAACAACAGACUUGCUACCCAGAUGCAGCCUGACUUGCUGAGUAUUUCCAGCAUUUUCUGUUUUCAUAACACAAAAGGCUAGGAUUUUUUUGGGAGACACAGGAGACCUCAGCUGCCGGAAUCUGGAGCAAAAAAAAGAUGCUGGUGGAACUCAGCAGUCAAGCAGCAUCUGUGGAGUGACACGGACAGUUGACGUUUUCUGUCGGGACCCUUCAUCUGGAUCUGGGAUAUUUUUUCUCCAGAUGUCAGCAGGAUUUAUCUGUUCACAUAACCGAGUUGUGUGGAGAAGCUGUGAACACCCAAGACAGAGUCCAAAAGUCAGACAUUUUAUAAACGAUUUUUGUGUGGUUUGUAUCAGCUCUACAACUGCAGGAAUGCUACCUCCUCAAUUCCUACUUGUUGAGAGUAACAAAUUACUGGCUGAGUUAGCGGUUAACAGGCCUUUCAGUUAAACAUCAGAGUGUAGUUAUGAGGGAGGCCUGACUAAUCCUUCUGAUGACACAUCCCUCGAACAAGCAGUAGGUGCCAGAGGUGGGGGUGGAGGCAAAUACAAGAAAGGUGUUUCAAAGGCUCUUAGAUAGGCACAUGAAUGUGCAGAGAAUGGAGGGAUAUGGACAUUGUGUAGGCAGGAAGGACUAGUUUAGUAAGGCAUUUAAUUACUAGUUUAAUUAGUUUGGCACAACAUUGUGGGCAGAAGGGCCUUUUCCUGUGCUGUACUGUUCAAUGUUCCAUGUUCUAACCCAUGAGAGCAUCAGGAACAUCUUGGUGUAUGAGGCAGAUUAUGGAACCCUGCUCACUCUGGUGACUGCCAACAAUGUGACCUGGUUAAAGUCAGCAAUCUUUUUGCAGCCUUGCAUCCCCUGUGACCUGAUAUUGCAAAGAGGAUUGGAGGGAUAGGGGCCCUGCAGCUAAUGGAGUGGUCAAUAGGUGAGGAAGGUUAGAGAGAAUGGGAAGAAAGAGAAACACAUUGAAGCUAAGGAGGCCAGAGUAAAAUUAAAAGAGCAGCACCUUCAUUGGCUCUUUCAGUUCUUUUACUUCAAUGACCCUUGAUUCUCUAUGAAGGAACAUUGAACCUUCAGGCUCUGGUGCCAAGGCCAUUCUAGCAGUGCAGGCUGAGAAGCUAAUGUUGCAAAAAGCAGCUUUUGAUUUUAUUCCAAACACAUUAUUGAACUGAAUUCUCAUUUUCAUCCACUGGACAACAUGUUCUCAACUUUACAAACUACUUACCUCUAAAA